AUGUCCCCGGAGACGGUGACGUCGACGGAGUUGCAGACCCAGUCCUGGCGUUCCCGGGUGAGGACGAGGAGGCACGGCCGGAUGCAUCUCGGGUCCGUGAAGCUGAAUUCGUCGGUGCUGCCACGGUUGAACCUGGCACCGUCGCGGUCGUCUUCCCAGUGUGUCACGACGGGGCUGCCGUCCUGCAGGUUGUCGCCGUACAACCGGAACUCCACGAAUGCCUCCGUGCCGGCCGGAGGCCAGAGCCCCGUCUUCACCUUCACCCGGUACUCACAGUCCCCCUUGGUGGUGCCGCUGCCGGCGAGGAAGGCGGCCACCAGAAUGACAAGGGCGAGCUUGGGCAUGCCCAUGGCCACCUGCGUUAGUUUAGUAGCUACGAUAGAUAGAUAG
rnacentral:rRNA from 1 species